AUACCUGUGAAGUAUGUCCCUGGGAAGGGGACUGACUAGAACAUAUUGGUUUCGAAUAUCUAUUAUUUGAAUCAUGCCACAUCAGUGAAUGAAUGGACAUUUGGCUAAUCUAUGCAUACCUUCCUUUGCAUAUCCCAACCUGAAACAUUACAGUGUCCUGCUAAGGCCUUAGACAAUAGGAUUUGUGUAUCUGCAAAGUCAGAAUCAAAGACUAAUCCAUACCUGGUUAUUCUGAGUGAAAUAAAACAAAGUAAUUUAUUUUCAUUAUAGAUUGGACAUGCUGAGGAGAGGAACUGAUUCAUUACUGAAAUCUACUGUGCUCCAUUAUGCUCGCUGAGGCAAGGGUCAGUCUGAUACUUCACUAUGGAAAAGAUUGCCAGAAGAAUGGAGAAGAGGGAAGAAGAGAUUGACUCUCUGAAUUAUAGCAUCUGUGAAGAUGAUAGUCUGACAAAGGGAAAAGAAAUUAAUGGAAGGACCAAGACUGGGCUAUUCAGCUAGCUUGCCAGGGUUCUGGUUAAACAGCUCAAAUUUGUUUAGGUCCUGGCUGCAGUUUGGCAACACCUGGUGUCUAUCAAAAGUCUUCCAGGACAGAAAUAGUAACUAUAAGAAUAUCCCAAUACUUGGCACAUGUUUCAUUGGACAGAGCCAGGGAGAUCGGAUAGGACUGGCAACAAGGAAUAUGGCCUGCAGCUUUCUGCUUCCCAAAAUUGGAUUGCUACUUACUCUCCAAUCAGGCCAAUAUUCUCCUUCACAUCUUGCCUCUUUCCUGGCCCAAGGUAUAUUGGCACAUCUGAUUAAUGAAGAUCCCAGUUUGCUGAAUCCUAAUUACUGA
rnacentral:lncRNA from 1 species